AACGAACGCUGGCGGCAGGCUUAACACAUGCAAGUCGAGCGCCCCGCAAGGGGAGCGGCAGACGGGUGAGUAACGCGUGGGAACGUACCCUUUGCUACGGAAUAGCUCCGGGAAACUGGAAUUAAUACCGUAUGCGCCCUACGGGGGCAAGAUUUAUCGGCAAAGGAUCGGCCCGCGUUGGAUUAGCUAGUUGGUGGGGUAAUGGCCUACCAAGGCGACGAUCCAUAGCUGGUCUGAGAGGGUGAUCAGCCACAUUGGGACUGAGACACGGCCCAAACUCCUACGGGAGGCAGCAGUGGGGAAUAUUGGACAAUGGGCGCAAGCCUGAUCCAGCCGUGCCGCGUGAGUGAUGAAGGCCUUAGGGUUGUAAAGCUCUUUCACCGGAGAAGAUAAUGACGGUAUCCGGAGAAGAAGCCCCGGCUAACUUCGUGCCAGCCGCCGCCGUAAAAC
rnacentral:rRNA from 1 species